GCCACUGUGGCUUAGCCUGGUAUAGCGUCUGAUUCGUAAUCAGAAGGUCGGGAGUUCGAAUCUCCCCAGUGGCUCCA
rnacentral:tRNA from 1 species